GACGCACUUUGCUGCUUCCCAGUCUGCAUGAGACAUCACAGCGCGGCUGUGGCGAGCUGGAAUGUUCUGCUAUAAGUGUCGAUGGAAAGGGAGAGCGGAACAUGACCAUCAUUUAAGAUACAAUGGGAGGAAACAUCCAACAACCAUCGUGAAUCAAUAUUAGUGCUCCUUUAGAAGGAAGGAUACUCUGAGGGGAUGGGGAAAAUCUCUCAGCAUGGGACUUAUCAAAGCCAGGCAUCAGCACAGUUUGUGGUCUAAAUCUGCAAUGAGGUCAUUGAGAAUCUGUUUGACUUUUCAACCAGUCGAACGAGGCUUCAGAAGGAAAAGUGGAAAAAAAAGUCUUACAAUAACACUGAACAAUUGCUUUUGAAGUGAAUGUCAUAACCCUUUGUUACAUUUUGUUAGCUAAGCUUUUUAAUGGUGGCAGGAUGCGGUGCUGUCUUGCUUUUUUGUGGCUAACGUGCUGAAUUUGCUGCAUUCAGAUUUUAUUUCUGCUCCAUUAAAUCUAAUUUGAUUGUGAAUUUGGAUCAGCUCAGUGUUUUUACAUUAUAAAGAAAAGAUUUUACUAGCUAGCAGGAUAUUUAAAGAUUUAGGGGGAUGCACUGGCAUUAUUAUGGUGCCAGUAAACUAGACAAUACUUUUCUUAACCCAUCUAAUAUGACAAAUAAUACAAGAAAUAACAAUGCAAAAAUGUUUUAUGUUGUUAAAUUUAGCGUAAAACUGUAUGUUACACUACAAAAUGUAGAAAAUGUAGUAUAUCAAAAUACAUUUUAUAGUGAAAAACAAAGUGUAUGGAUUGAUCAACGCAAACAUCAGUUA